GAUGAAGAACGCAGCGAAAUGCGAUAAGUAAUGUGAAUUGCAGAAUUCAGUGAAUCAUCGAAUCUUUGAACACACCUUGCACCCUUUGGCAUUCCGAAGGGUAUGCUCGUUUGAGUGUCAUUGUACUCUCACACUUCUGAUCCUUUGGAUUGGGAGCGGUGGACUUGGGUGUUGCUGCUUUACUGUGGCUCACCUCAAAUGCAUUAGUGCAACUCUUGGUUGGACAUAGUACGGCGUGAUAAGUAUCUUCGCCGGCACCUCGCAAGAGGGUGGCUGAUCAGGAGCUCUGUGCUUUCCAACUGUCUUCAGACAACAACUGACAACUUGACCUCAAAUCGAGUAGGACCACCCGCUGAACUUAAGCAUAUCAAUAAGCGGAGGA
rnacentral:misc_RNA from 1 species